rnacentral:rRNA from 1 species
AUUGAACGCUGGCGGCAGGCCUCACACAUGCAAGUCGAACGAGUGGCGGCCGGGUGAGUAAUGUCUGGGAAACUGCCUGCUGGAGGGGGAUAACUACUGGAAACGGUAGCUCAUACCGCAUACCAUCGGAUGUGCCCAGCUGGGAUUAGCUAGUAGGUGGGGUAAAGGCUCCCCUAGGCGACGAUCCCUAGCUGGUCUGCGAGGAUGCCCAGCCACACUGGAAGUGAGACACGGUCCAGACUCCGACGGGAGGCAGCAGGGGGGGAUAUGGCACAAUGGACGCAAGCCUGAGGCAGCCAUGCCGCGUGUAUGAAGAAGGCCUUCGGGUUGUAAAGUACUUUCAGCGGGGAGGCGUUACCCGCAGAAGAAGCACCGGCUAACUCCGUGCCAGCAGCCGCGGUAAUAC